UUGUCAACAACAGCUCCAAGUGGAAUAUUGUACAGAUUCUUGAGUCGCGGAAAAAUUUCUUACCAUCGAAAUCCGGUUUUAAUUAGAUGCAUGGUUAGUACUUUGCCCUUGAAAUUUCGAAAACGUCGACUUCCUUAUGCGAAUGGUUAUAAUCGCACUGAGAAAUGAAGAAAUGGUCUGUCAUCAGGCUGACGAGCUUGAUAGGAGGACUGGCAGCUAUCACUAGCAUUGUUACAAUUAUUUUUCUCAUCAAAAAAAUCGAAGGAGACUAUACAAGAGAUGCAGUCAAGCCCCAUCAAACAGACAGCCAUGAGCUAAGAUUGCUUUUGGAUGAAGCCAACAGAGAUAAUAACCGCAGAAUUUCUACGGUGGAAGAAACUUGCAAACGUCGCCAUUUGGGUCGGUAUCAGGAUCGGAACUUCGAAUCUUUCUACAAACAUCCGCCAGCUCCACAGUAUACAGUCUUCUUCAUUGACAUGGUACACAACUUAUCUUACUGCCCAGUAUACAAGGCUGGAAGUACCACAUGGUUUUACAAUUUAUGUUUGCUGAAUGGAAUCCCGGAAGAAGCACUAGCUAACAGCAGUGGACAGAUUUCGAUAAUCGCACGAAGCGUCCUACCGGAAAUGGAAUUAUCAGAGGCCGUAGAGGUUUUGGAAAAAAGUCGCAAACUGCUUGUGGUUCGACACCCUUUUGAACGUUUGCUCAGCGCAUAUCGCGAUAAACUGGAAAAUUCUGUGGCGGGCAGGGAACAUGGGACUCUUCACUUUUAUAAGAAAUACGGAUCCAAGAUUGUCGCAAAAUUUCGAGAUGAGAGAAUUGCACCUCCAAGAUCUGAUCAGGUAAUCAGACCGAAGGACAUUCCUCCUCCCGCAGGAAUAGAGCCAACGUGGAGAGAGUUUGUCCAAUAUUUAAUCCACACGGAUUUGGCUAGUUAUGGAGAUGAUCAUUGGAUGCCUUAUUAUCUAUUUUGUACCCCGUGCUUGAUCAGGUUUAACAUCAUCGCAAAGGAAUCUCUGGAGGUCUGGGGCAUCUAUCAUCCCAAUAACCGCCCAGGUCAAGGCUUCCCUUACGGGCUUACCUAUUAAUGAGUCAAGUUGUCUUUGUUUUUGGCGGGCGUAUUCAAACUGUUACAAGUAGUACGGAUUACCCAUACAACUGACCAAACUUUCGUCUCUCUCUCUUAGACAGAACGACUCAGCAACCCAAUAUUAGCAGAAGCCGCAUGUAUGGCUUGGCGGGAUUGGAGACCAAAGGAUUGGAC
rnacentral:misc_RNA from 1 species